rnacentral:rRNA from 1 species
AUUGAACGCUGGCGGCAGGCCUAACACAUGCAAGUCGAGCGGAUGAAGGGAGCUUGCUCCUGGAUUCAGCGGCGGACGGGUGAGUAAUGCCUAGGAAUCUGCCUGGUAGUGGGGGAUAACGUCCGGACACGGGCGCUAAUACCGCAUACGUCCUGAGUGUGAAAGUGGGGGAUCUUCGGACCUCACGCUAUCAGAUGAGACUAGGUCGGAUUAGCUAGUUGGUUGGGUAAAGGCCUACCAAGGCGACGAUCCGUAACUGGUCUGAGAGGAUGAUCAGUCACACUGGAACUGAGACACGGUCCAGACUCCUACGGGAGGCAGCAGUGGGGAAUAUUGGACAAUGGGCGAAAGCCUGAUCCAGCCAUGCCGCGUGUGUGAAGAAGGUCUUCGGAUUGUAAAGCACUUUAAGUUGGGAGGAAGGGCAGUGAGUUAAUACCUGGCUGUUUUGACGUUACCAAAAGAAUAAGCACCGGCUAACUUCGUG